rnacentral:rRNA from 1 species
CAGCCGCCGCGGUAAUACGUAGGGUGCGAGCGUUAAUCGGAAUUACUGGGCGUAAAGCGGGCGCAGACGGUUACUUAAGCAGGAUGUGAAAUCCCCGGGCUCAACCUGGGAACUGCGUUCUGAACUGGGUGACUAGAGUGUGUCAGAGGGAGGUAGAAUUCCACGUGUAGCAGUGAAAUGCGUAGAGAUGUGGAGGAAUACCGAUGGCGAAGGCAGCCUCCUGGGAUAACACUGACGUUCAUGCCCGAAAGCGUGGGUAGCAAACAGGAUUAGAUACCCGUGUAGUCCCUGUCUUUUAUAU